CAUGCAAGUCGAACGAGUGGCGAACGGGUGAGUAACACGUGAGCAAUCUGCCCCUGACUCUGGGAUAAGCGCUGGAAACGGCGUCUAAUACCGGAUAGUCAGGGAUGAGCUCGCGGCCUAUCAGCUAGUUGGUGAGGUAAUGGUCACCAAGGCGCGACGGGUAGCCGGCCUGAGAGGGUGACCGGCCACACUGGGACUGAGACACGGCCCAGACUCCUACGGGAGGCAGCAGUGGGGAAUAUUGCACAAUGGGCGCAAGCCUGAUGCAGCAACGCCGCGUGAGGGACGACGGCCUUCGGGUUGUAAACCUCUUUUAGCAGGGAAGUGGUACCUGCAGAAAAAGCACCGGCUAACUACGUGCCAGCAGCCGCGGUAACACGUAGGGUGCAAGCGUUAUCCGGAAUUAUUGGGCGUAAAGAGCUCGUAGGCGGUUUGUCGCGUCCGCUGUGAAACUGGGGGCUCAACCCCCAGCCUGCAGUGGGUACGGGCAGACUAGAGUGCGGUAGGGGAGAUUGGAAUUCCUGGUGUAGCGGUGGAAUGCGCAGAUAUC
rnacentral:rRNA from 1 species